rnacentral:rRNA from 1 species
UACGGGGGGGGUAAGCGUUGUUCGGAAUUACUGGGCGUAAAGGGCUCGUAGGCGGCCAACUAAGUCAUACGUGAAAUCCCUCAGCUUAACUGGGGAACUGCGUGUGAUACUGGAUGGCUUGGAUUUGGGAGAGGGAUGCGGAAUUCCAGGUGUAGCGGUGAAAUGCGUAGAUAUCUGGAGGAACACCGGUGGCGAAGGCGGUUCUCUGGGCCUUACCUGACGCUGAGGAGCGAAAGCGUGGGGAGCAAACAGG